UACGUAGGGUGCGAGCGUUAAUCGGAUUUACUGGGCGUAAAGCGUGCGCAGGCGGCCCGUUAAGACAGGUGUGAAAUCCCUGGGCUCAACCUAGGAAUUGCGCUUGUGACUGGCGGGCUCGAGUACGGUAGAGGGGGGUGGAAUUCCUGGUGUAGCAGUGAAAUGCGUAGAGAUCAGGAGGAACACCGAUGGCGAAGGCAGCCCCCUGGGCCUGUACUCACGCUCAUGCCCGAAAGCGUGGGGAGCAAACAGG
rnacentral:rRNA from 1 species